AAUAAGUGUAGUUUUGCACUAUUUACGUUUAACGUUUGACCGUUCGUCUUAUUUAAAAUUUUUUUAUGAUUAGUAUUUUUAUUGUAUUAGAUGAUAAAACAUGAAUAGUACUUUAUGUGUGACUAAAUAUUUUCAAUAUUUUCACAAAUUUUUUAAAUAAGAUAGACGGUUAAAUGUUUGGCACGAAUAUCCACGGCUGCACUUAUU
rfam:Oryza glaberrima chromosome 6 Oglab06_0237_1, whole genome shotgun sequence.